rnacentral:lncRNA from 1 species
UUUCUGCGAAUAUUGCGUGUGUGAACUGAAGGGAUGAAGCUAUCUUUUGCAGGGUUUCGAAGUUCGUUGCCCUUUUCUGGGCUAGUUAGGUAAUUCACCAUUGCUUUCAUUCAUCUUUGUUUAAAAGCUUUUUUUCUUUCUUCUCUCCAGAACUAAAUGUUAGGGUUACGAUAAUCCGCUAUAACGGCGCCGCAAAGCAUCCUGUAUGGCGAGAUUUUGGCUCUCCGCCGUGGACCGCCAUCGACAACACUGAUAUGACGUGGUGUGAGUGGUAGAUACUUAGAUCUCUUAACAGCAUGGUUAAUACAUGUUGGGUGAUGUUAACCUCUAAAUGUAUGAGAUUAGUGUUUGUAGUUAGGGUUAAAAAUGAGCAAUCUCAGUAGUUGAUAGUAAUCAGACGUUGAUGUUACAUGUAUGUUCAUGACAAAUAUUAAAUGUUAGCAGUUUUCAUUCUCAUCAACUAUUAUAAAGUCUCAUUUUAUUCUCUAAAACAAGCCUAUGCUCCAUACGUAACUGGUACAUCAAAAUGAAUGAAUGUAUGGUUUGGUAGAUUAGAAUAUGGGAUGUAGAGUAAUUUUUUUAAAAUAAGGUCUGGGGAAGUUUAUUAUUGGUUAUGUAAUUAAACUUGUUUUUAUUUUGUGACAGGCAGCUUGAAAAAGAUGUAGAAACUGUUAUUAAGGUGUUACAGCCCGGACCUUUAGGAAUCACCGAGCAUAAGUUUUCUACCGACGAGAUUCGUAGUGCUAAUGCUACGGUCACUAAAGCAGUAGCUAAUUGGCGAAGAAAUGCAAUCCUUGAGGACAAUAAUCAUAUUUUGAAAGACUAUAUUCAAAAGUGAAGGUUAGAAAUUAUAACAUUUUGAUCUUCUAUGACGAAUAUAGUUCUGCCCUCAAAUUGUCAAAAUUGCCUUCUCUAAUCAUUUGUGAUGAGAUGCAGUUCUUGUUGAGAUGUGUGAUCAUCUAGAUGUUUAAUGUUGUAAAUGUUGGUUAUUGAUGAUAAUUUUGUUGAACAUAAGGUAAUAAAUAAUAAUAGCUAUGUUUACUAUACUAACAAUGUGGAGAGACUUGGUUUAUUUUUGUUGUCGAUUGUGGUGCGAUUGCAAAUAACCAACCGCUUUAACUACUCUAUUCAACACCAAAGGCAUAGCAUAUAGGCUUUGCUUGCCCACACAAACCACCAGAAUGGCUGAGCGCAAACAUAGGCAUAUGUUGUUGAAACUGGCCUCACUUUAUUUUCUCAAGCAAGUCUACCCUUGAAGUUCUGGGAUCAUGGUUGCAUGACUGCCACUUAUCUUAUCAACAGAAUGACUGCCACUUUACUAGACAUGAAGUCUCCCUAUACUUCAUGUUGUAUCAACAAGUUCCUAAAUCAGUCCUGAUACAACCAUAAAUAACACCAAUCUUGUCCCACCUCAACUUACUUUCUCAAUCAGUCCUGAUACAACUAUAAAUAAUACCAAUCUUGUCCCAUCCACUCUUCAAGAAACCUCACAAAACACUAUCACACCUCUGAAACCUCACAAGAAUCUCAUUCAUCAUCACUCAACCUCCCAUUUCUACAUCCAAUUUUUAUCAUUCUUCAUACCCUCAAUUUUGGUCCUCUAGCUUACAAAAUGUCCUAACAUUUUCUUUUCUUAUACAUUAUGCCUUGAAUCUGUAGGGCACGACAACCACGUUAUUUAUGCAAGAUGAUGUGGAAAAAAGUUUUUAAGAGAGAAUGCACUCAGACAGUGUCUUGUGUUAAAUUUGGUUGUUUUGUCAUAUAAAUCGAUGUAUAUUUUGAUGAAAUGAAAAGUAGUUGGUAGAUGGGAAUUAUCCACAUCUAUGAGACUUAUUUUGUUGUCUUAAAUGAAUUAAUUUUUUAUAUUAUUUUACACUUUAAAAAAAUUUAAGCCACUCGAUUACAAUUUUUAAAUAUUCAGACGAUUCAUUUAAAAGUUUAAAUUGGGUCCCAUUAACUAUUACUAUAAGUAAGUGUAAAACACACUAAAAACUAAGACACAAUAGCUUUAUUUGACAACAUUGCGUUUAUUAUAUCAUUCAUUACAUAAUUAAAUAUAAUUGUUUUAUCCAAAUAACACAGUUUUAAGUCACAUUUCAGAUAAAUUUCUAAACUAUCUCACUUAAAAAAAAAUGUAAAUACAUAGAUGUCAGAUGAAUUGGCGCAUACCUUUAAAUUUAAAGAGGAGGCGCCAAUUGAAUUGUCUUUUACACAUGGUGCUGUCAAUCUAAUUGGUGCUGUCAAUUGGUCUGACGCAUGCGUGUUGUAUAAAUUAUUUAUUUUUGUAUAAAUAGAAGUGUGGUGUGAUUCAUUUUCCACAUCUCUUUUCAUUAUAUUGCAAGCACUGUUCGUCUUCGUCGUUGCUAUGUGAAAAUGAUUUAUUCGACAGACAAGCCUCCGAUGGAGAUGCUCUUCUGGAACAUCUGUAGUUUCAAAUAACUACAGAGGGAGUUAGUUCGUUGGUUAGAUGGAGACAUACCUGAAGGCGAAAAAAUUAGAAGUAUUGAGAGACACGAUACUGUACGUGGGUGAGUGCGAGUUAAAAAUGAUAAGGAUGCGAGAGAAAUGGUAUGAUAUCAGUUUGGACCAAAUGAUAUCAGUUUGAUUGUUCUAAUUAGUUAGAAAUAUUGUGUUUAAAUAUUGUGGUUAAAUAUUUUUAUUUGUUUUGAUAUCUAUUGUAUGUGUUGUUUAUUCAGACCUAUCACCAAUGUUUGUUUUGUGAUAUUUGGUUUCUUGUUGGAAAGUGUGGUUGUUUUUAAGUGUGUUUAAGUUGUGAUGAUGUUUGUUGUUAAUAUUGUUGUAAUAAAAAGUUAUUAAUAUAUAAAAAUCAAAGGUUACAAAAAUUGAAAGGAGGUACUAAAUUAUGAUGCAGGGGUUGCUCUAAGAUUGAGACAUUUUUUAUUAUUGUGUCCGAGUUUACGACAUAUACUACAUAAUCAUACCAUUUUAUCAGCCACAUCCAUUUAUGUUAUAAUAAGCGUGUUGUUUGGUCGUCCCUUUUCUUUCUUCGCAUCUCAUCGUUGUGCCAAACUAUGUCCCCUUAAUAUAUGAAGAUA